CAAAAUGGAAAGAAACAGAAAAUUGAAAUUGCUCUUCAUCUACUAAGUGGUGUCCUGGAAGAACCAACACAAAAGGCUUAUUUCCUUUCAUCUGACUUGGAGUUCAACCAGUGCUAAAAACUUCUCCCUGAGGAGCAUUUCUGGAAAACAUUUACUGGCAAAUGUUUUAACAUUCCAGCUGCCUGAGGAAAUUAUUUACAGUUGGGGAAAACAAUAGACUAAGCAAAAUGAAUAAAAGGAAAAAGUGAGAAAUAAAAUGUCCAGAAGGGCUUUGAAAAGCUCCAACAUGAUUCUUCAUAAUCUAAAAGGACACCUGCAUGUGUAGGAUUGUAUGCAUUCCCCAAACAGUCGGAUUGCUUAGGAAAGACCUGAGAGGGCCUUAAGCUCUCACUUCUGUCUGACCUUGAGGCUCUGUGCAAGUAAGGGAAGCCCAUGGCAAAAUGGUAUACUGAUUGGCUGAAUGUUGAAGAUGUGUCCCAACAGCAACACAGAACUCCUUAGCAACAACUGAGAGAUUUAUUUGUUCCAGGCAAUUAAGGUAAUCUCUGUCCAAUUAUCAGCUGGCCUCUAAGCUAAUGGAGCUGAGACUUCAUUGAUAAAGAAUAUACACUCUGCAGAGUUACUUCAGGAAAGUCAGUAAACAAUAACUACCACAAUAAAUAGUGAAAACAGCCAAUCCUGAGGAAUGAUGAGAAUCUAAUUUCCAGAGUUACUACAUUAUAAUAUUUAAAUUGUCCAAGUUGCAAUAAAAAUAUAUGAGAAUUUCAAAGAAAUAUGAAUGUAUGGCUCUUACAUAGGAAAAGAAGUAAUCAGUAGAAACUGUCUCUGUGAAAACGUAGAUAUUUGGCUUACUGGAAAAAGACUUUAAAUAAGUGAUUUAAAAUACGUUCAAUGAACUGAAGGUAAAUAUGUGGUAUAUCCAUAGAAUUGAAUAUUAUGAAGACAUAAAAAAAGAUGAAGUGAGGUCCACUUUUGGCAUGACCACGUGAAGAACUCCACAGAUUUACUUUCCACGAAAACUAGUGGAAAUUAUAGAAGAACAAUAAUUUAAACUUUCUGAAAAUGGUCCUGGAGACAUGCAAAAUAUGAAGAAACAUUUGUUCAAGGAAAUCUAGUAGAGCUCAGUAAGAACAGUGAGAGUCUAUGGUGUUUGAACCAUAACCCAUUCUGUUCCUCCCCAUUCCCAAUGCAGGAAGAUGGAAACUUCACUCAGAUUGGUAGAGCUAAUGCACAAGGUUCCCCUUAUCCCCAGUUCCCAGUCAAGGAUUUAUAUUCCUAGGAGAGACACAGCAUCAGCAUUUUUCAUCCUACUACCAGCUACCUGCUGCUGAGGAUAAUAUCUGGGUAAGUGUAGCUGAGAAGCGGGCACUCUACUUUUCUACUUGAUCUCUACUCAUACAGUAGAAGCUCCAGCUUGGGUAUGGUGCUGCUGAAAAUACUGGGUCCCGAAUUGCCAUUUUCCCACCUGAUAAGACAGGGGUUCAUGUCAAGAGAAGCAAGCCUAAAGACCUAUGGCUACGGCCUAGCCCUUUCACUUAGCACUCAAAUUCUAGAUUGGGACUACUACUCAGAGAGAAGAACACCAUUACACAUCUACAUAUCUAGGAAAGUCAAUUAACUAAAAGUUGGAAAAAUACAAAGAGAUCCACAGAUAAACUAGUCAAAAUACUGAAAGCCAAAUACAUGGAGAAAAAUUUGGGAGCAACAAGGGUAAAGGGCCCAUCACUUACAAUAGAACCACAAUGAAAUAAACAGCUGGCUUUUAUUUAUUUAUUUAUUUAUUUUUUAGAGUCUCACUCUGUCGCCCAGGCUGGAGUGCAGUGGUGUGACCUUGGCUCACUGCAACCUCUGCCUCCUGGGUUCAAGCAAUUCUCCUGCCUCAGCCUCCCAAGUAGCUGGGAUUACUGGCGCCCGCCAGUACACCCAGCUAAUUUUUUUAGUAGACCCAGGGUUUCACCACGUUGACCAGGCUGGUCUCGAACUCCUGACAUCGUGAUUUGCCCACCUCGGCCUCCCAAAGUGCUGGGAUUACAGGCAUGAGGCACCGCGCCCGGCCAACAGCUGGCUUUUAAUCAGAAACAAUGGAGGGUGGAAAGUGAUGGGAUAGCAUAUUCAAAAAUGCCUAAUGAAGAAAAACAAAAUGUCAACCAAGGAUCCUAUAUCCAGCAAAGCUAUUUUUAAAAACAAAAGCAACAUAAGCACAUUCCCUGAGAGAAUUUUGCUAGCAGACCUGCCUUCCAAAAAAUACUAAAUGAAGUUCUUGAGCUGAAGGCAAGUGACCCCAGGCAAUAAUACCAAUAUAAAAAUACAAAGAAUAUCUAUAAAGAAAUUUUUAAUUAUAGAAGACAGUAUAAAUGCAUACAUUUCUCCUUUCUUGGCUGAUUUUAAAAGCAAUUGUAUAAAAAAGUGUACAAUUGUGAAAGUUGCCAUAAUCAAAAUGGAUUCAUUAAUAUUAAUGAAACCCUGACAAAUAGAGCCAGGAAAGGCCGUGAAGAGAGCGUUCUCAUGUUGGUAUAUCUGAUAACACAACUAUCACAAAAGUCUGCAGAAAGCAUUACAACUUCACACAAAAAAAUACCUCUACAGCGUCAUCUACCCAGCAACUACCUGUCUAACCUCAGACUGGCAUCAUUCUUGUUAUUAAUCUUUGUAGACAAGAAUAACUAUUUCAAAACAAUUAUGUAAUCCGUCUGAUUUUUUCCUUUAAAAGACUUUGUCUUUGUUCAUCUAAUUAAAUAUGCACAUUUUUUACUAUGGCAUGCAUAUUCCCAUUGCAAUGCUGUAUCCCCAAAUAAACAUCUUUUCUUUUAGAG
rnacentral:lncRNA from 1 species